rnacentral:rRNA from 1 species
GAUGAACGCUGGCGGCGUGCCUAACACAUGCAAGUCGAACGAAGCACCUUACCUUUUUCUUCGGAUGCAAGUGUGGUGCCUGAGUGGCGGACGGGUGAGUAACGCGUGUGUAACCUGCACAGUACAGGGGGAUAACAGCUGGAACCGGCUGCUAAUACCUCAUAAGCGCAGGAGGAGAGAUCUCCUUGGGUGUAAAACUCCGGUGGUACAGGUUGGGGCCGCGUCUGAUUAGCUGGUGGGCAGGGUAACUGCCUAGCAAGGCAACGAUGAGUAGCCGGUCGGAGAGGAGGCACGACCACAACGGAACUGAGACCCAGUCCCAACUCCGAGGGGACGGAGGAGUGGAGAACAUAGCAGAAGGGAGGAAACCCUGACGCAGCCACGCGGGGGAAGAGAAGAAGUAGGUCGGUAAGUAAAGUUCUAUCAGCAGGGAAGAUAAUGACGGUACCUGACUAAGAAGCACCGGCUAAAUACGUG